AUUGAACGCUGGCGGCAGGCCUAACACAUGCAAGUCGAACGAGUGGCGGACGGGAGAGUACUGUCUGGGAACGUGCCCAAUGGAGGGGGAUAACUACUGGAAACGGUAGCUAAUACCGCAUACCAUCAGAUGUGCCCAUAUGGGAUUAGCUUGUUGGUGGGGUAAAGGCUCACCAAGGCGACGAUCCCUAGCUGGUCUGAGAGGAUUACCAGCAACACUGGGACAUAGACACGGUCCAGACUCCUACGGGAGGCAGCAGUGGGGAAUGUUGCACAAUGGGCGAAAGCCUGAUGCAGCCAUGCCGCGUGUAUGAAGAAGGCCUUCGGGUUGUAAAGUACUUUCAGCGGGGAGGCGUUACCCGCAGAAGAAGCACCGGCUAACUCCGUGCCAGCAGCCGCUGUAAUUC
rnacentral:rRNA from 1 species